rnacentral:pre_miRNA from 1 species
CUGCUGUCUUUGAAUCUUGGCACUGGGAGAAUUCACAGUUGAUUUUAUUAUUCUGUGGUUCUGCGGGUGCCAAAAUUGAAAUAAUGGCCU